rnacentral:rRNA from 1 species
ACUGCCUGAUGGAGGGGGAUAACUACUGGAAACGGUAGCUAAUACCGCAUAACGUCGCAAGACCAAAGAGGGGGACCCUCGGGCCUCUUGCCAUCGGAUGUGCCCAGAUGGGAUUAGCUUGUUGGUGGGGUAACGGCUCACCAAGGCGACGAUCCCUAGCUGGUCUGAGAGAAUGACCAGCCACACUGGAACUGAGACACGGUCCAGACUCCUACGGGAG